rnacentral:tRNA from 1 species
GGAUCCGUGAGGUAACCAGGAUAGCCUGCAGAGCUUCGGACUCUGUCGUGAGGGUUCAAAUCCCUUCGGAUCCA